AAUGAACGUUGGCGGCGUGGAUUAGGCAUGCAAGUCUAGCGGAAAGGCCCGCAAGGGCACUCGAGCGGCGUAAGGGACAGUAAUGUGUAGGUAACGUACCCCUGGGUCUAGGAUAGCUGCGGGAAACUGCAAUUAAUACUAGAUAACGUCUCCGGACCAAAGGUGUGAUUCCACCUGGGGAGCGGCCUACAUCCUAUUAGCUAGUUGGCGAGGUAAUGGCUCACCAAGGCGAAGAUGGGUAGCAGGUGUGAGAGCACGACCUGCGUCACUGGGACUGAGACGCUGCCCAGACACCUACGGGUGGCUGCAGUCGAGAAUCUUCGGCAAUGGGCGAAAGCCUGACCGAGCGACGCCGCGUGUGGGAUGAAGGCCUUCGGGUUGUAAACCACUGUCGGAGGGGAUGAAGUGUUAGUGGGUUCUCCCAUUAACUUGACUGAUCCUCGGAGGAAGGGUGGGCUAAGUUCGUGCCAGCAGCCGCAGUAAAAC
rnacentral:rRNA from 1 species